GAUGAACGCUGGCGGCGUGCUUAACACAUGCAAGUCGAACGGAAAGGCUCCUGCUUGCAGGGGUACUCGAGUGGCGAACGGGUGAGUAACACGUGGGUGAUCUGCCCUGCACUUCGGGAUAAGCCUGGGAAACUGGGUCUAAUACCGGAUAGGACCACAUUUUGGAUGGUGUGGUGGAAAGUUUUUCGGUGUGGGAUGAGCUCGCGGCCUAUCAGCUUGUUGGUGGGGUAAUGGCCUACCAAGGCGUCGACGGGUAGCCGGCCUGAGAGGGUGUACGGCCACAUUGGGCCUGAGAUACGGCCCAGGCUCCAACGGGAGGCAGGAGUGGGGAAUAUUGCACAAUGGGCGCAAGCCUGAUGCAGCGACGCCGCGUGGGGGAUGACGGACUUCGGGUUGUAAACUCCUUUCGCUAGGGACGAAGCGUUUUUGUGACGGUACCUGGAGAAGAAGCACCGGCUAACUACGUG
rnacentral:rRNA from 1 species